UACGUAGGUGGCGAGCGUUGUCCGGAUUUACUGGGCGUAAAGAGCGCGCAGGCGGUUGUGCAAGUCGCGUGUGAAAGCCCCCGGCUCAACUGGGGAGGGUCACGCGAUACUGUUCGACUUGAAGGCAGGAGAGGGAAGUGGAAUUCCCGGUGUAGCGGUGAGAUGCGCAGAUAUCGGGAAGAACACCCGUGGCGAAGGCGGCUCUCUGGGACGGUACUGACGCUGAGACGCGAAAGCGUGGGGAGCGAACAGG
rnacentral:rRNA from 1 species